AUUGAACGCUGGCGGCAGGCCUAACACAUGCAAGUCGAGCGGGGUUUUCGGACCUAGCGGCGGACGGGUGAGUAAUGCGUAGGAAGCUGCCCGAUAGAGGGGGAUACCAGUUGGAAACGACUGUUAAUACCGCAUAAUGUCUACGGACCAAAGUGUGGGACCUUUGGGCCACAUGCUAUCGGAUGCGCCUACGUGGAAUU
rnacentral:rRNA from 1 species